rnacentral:lncRNA from 1 species
GCAAAGUCCCUGCCCCCAAGGAACGUACAGUCUAGCAUGAAAAAAAAUGAGAUUCCACCAAAGCACUAGAAGAGGUUAAGAAAGAGCGUGCCUGGUAAGCACUUUGCAGAAAUGGUUAACUUAGUCUAGGGGGUCAGGGCAACUUCCCAGAGUUAAGCGUGGAUACCUCUCAUUGUGCGAGCUCGGCCCCUCUUGGUGGUUCGAGUGUCUCCUUCUUGGUGAGCUUCACUUGCUGCCUCAUCUGCCAUUUUAUAGCUCUUGGUUACUUGUUUCCUGACAGUUGAGGUUUUACUACUGGAAGAAAACUCAGGUACAUGGGAGCUAGGGUUCUCGAUGUCUGUGAAGAUGUCAGAAUCAGAGGUCUUACUGCCAAAUUCUUUGAAGUUACUUGUGAGUGAACCAAAGCGGCUGUCAUAAAAGGAACCAAGUUCAGGAUGCAUUCGGGAAAGUUCGUCAAGUCUGCCACUAAAACUGUGGGUCAGGCCUAAGUCCAUGCCAUCACCGCAGUCAGAACCAUCAUCCGAAGUGACCACUUCUUUGACCACUUCCCGGUGACCAUCAUUACCCAAAACAGUCUUAGUAAUGGUUUUAGAGCAUGAACGACGUGUGGUGCUUGUGCCAGUAGAGGUAACUUUCUCGUUUCCAAUGAGGAGCUCUUUAUCUCCUUUAGAAGUGACCAGUUUUCCUGUGUGAUACUCUUUUCUUGUCGCUGGGCUGCUACUCCCUCCAAACUCUGAAAACUCACCCCAGUCAGGGUUGCUAGGCUUAAGGUUCCCAGAGCCUGAGCUAGGUCUGGAGCUUCCUGCACCCCAGGUUCCAGUGUCAUCAGACCCCGUUGUCCCAGAGCCCCAAUUUCCAUCACUUCCAGAU